GGAUGUGAGGGUGCUCUGUCUGGCAAGGCAGGUGUCGUCCCCUUCCUCCUUCACUGUUCUGUGUGCAUCCCUCCCGAAGCUGCAUGCUCUCUCGGUGAAAGAGGAUUACCUUCCCUGAUAGAGAAGGACUGAUCUUCAGUCAAGGGUAUACAAGUAGCUGUGCUCCCCUACUCAAACCUCCAAACAAGCUCUCAAGAAAAUGAAAACUUCUAAAAGCCUUCAGAGGAAAAAGAGGUACCGACAAAGGAAUAAGAAUUUAUCUGGUAUUUAAGAACUCAAGAGCACCACCAU
rnacentral:snRNA from 1 species